GCGAGCGUAGUCUAGUGGUUAUGAUGUCUGCUUUACAAGGGUGUAUUCCUGUCGAACGCAGAAGGUCGGGAGUUCGAUCCUCCCCGCUCGUA